GGGGGAAGGAACAGAUGAGCGAUGCGACUCUCUGGUCUGUAACUGACGCUGAGGCGCGAAAGCGUGGGGAGCGAACAGGAUUAGAUACCCUGGUAGUCCACGCCGUAAACGAUGAGUGCUAAGUGUUAGAGGGUUUCCGCCCUUUAGUGCUGCAGCAAACGCAUUAAGCACUCCGCCUGGGGAGUACGGCCGCAAGGCUGAAACUCAAAGGAAUUGACGGGGGCCCGCACAAGCGGUGGAGCAUGUGGUUUAAUUCGAAGCAACGCGAAGAACCUUACCAGGUCUUGACAUCCUCUGACACCUCUGGAGACAGAGCUUUCCCCUUCGGGGGACAGAGUGACAGGUGGUGCAUGGUUGUCGUCAGCUCGUGUCGUGAGAUGUUGGGUUAAGUCCCGCAACGAGCGCAACCCUUGUCCUUAGUUGCCAGCAUUCAGUUGGGCACUCUAAGGAGACUGCCGGUGACAAACCGGAGGAAGGUGGGGAUGACGUCAAAUCAUCAUGCCCCUUAUGACCUGGGCUACACACGUGCUACAAUGGAUAGAACAAAAGGGCAGCAAAACCGCGAGGUCAAGCAAAUCCCAUAAAAUCUAUUCUCAAGUUCGGAUUGCAGGCUGCAAACUCGCCCUGCAUGAAACCCAG
rnacentral:rRNA from 1 species